GAUUCAGCAUGACAGUGCCUCUUUAAGGGGUUAAGCUUCUAAACAGGUUUUUCAGGAUUCCUACUUCAGGAUUGGGACCCUGUAGUCUAUUUUGCCAUUUUUUUCAGGAGUAGCAGUUUAUGAUGACAAUGUACUAGAAAGAGGCUUACCUCCACAUUCUAAUCCAUCCAGAUCACUAUUGGUUGCUGAGAUUUUCCUUCCAGGACUGACAUUACAGGUUGUUUUCAUUGCUCUUUUAACUUGCCACAGCUCCGAGGGAAUUUACCAAGGUUCUGGAUAUCUUAAUGUUGUUGUCUCAUACCAUGAGAAUUGCAGUUGCCCCGUAUCUGGAUGAUAUCCUAGUACAAGCAGCUUCCUAUGACCUGGCACUCCUCCUCACAAGUUUUCUGGACCUCACAAGCUUUCUGGUUCUCAUAAACUCCUCACAAGCUUUCUGGCCUCUCACUUGGCAAUGUACUUGAUGGUGGCAUCCAUAGACCCAGAGCCUAUGGAUUAUCAUAUCUGGCACCUUUGGUAACUGAUUUAUUAAGGCUAGUCCUGUGGUAGAUUUCUCACCAGUCUGUGACCAUUUCAGAGUUUUGGACACCUGUCUGGAUCAUUGUGAUGAUGAAUGGGGGGGUCUGAGGAAAUACAGUCACCAGUCAAGGCAAAGCUUAAUAUCCUUGAGCUUCAAACUAUUUACCUGGCUAAAGCGCAAUAUCAUGGAAGUUGCCUGUGACAAACACCAGAGGCAAAGUUGAUGUUAGCUGAUUGUUGCUCUUACUUGAUUUUUUGCUUUCUGGAUGCUUGUAUGCAUUCUAUAAGAACUGCUGUCUUCAAAUGCAUGAGCAACUUUCCACCCAAGAAUCCAUUGAUUCCCGAACUGUCUCACACUUCAGAGAGUAGUACUAAGAUCUGCAAAAGUAAAUUCUACUGCAACAACAAGAAAAUUUGUCCAAAGCAUUUAAAGUCAGAGCAGUCGAAUAUGAGCGGGACCAGAGAAAGGGGCAAGUUGUGUCCUCACCAAUUACAUGCUUGCUCCCCAAAAGUGGGCAAGUCAGGUUGGUGCCCCUGGGCAGCCCAUGAUAGAGCCUUGUUUAAAUAGCUCUUGCAUAGGGAAAAGCCCUGUUCUUGUUUAGCACAAUGUAAGCUUGCUUUGCGUUAUCUGGAACUUGGCUUUGGUGUUCCCAAAAAUACCAGAUGGCAAAUGAGGAACAGUGUUGGAAGAGACAACUGUAUGUGGGUUUGUGUUUAUAGGAACGCUUCUGGUAAUUUUGUAUGCAUUCCGACGCUACUGGUUACGUGUAUGGUACAAAAAAACACUUCACCCUUACACCAAAAUAAGUGUUGAGUGAGAAAAAGUACUUAGUGCAAAACAGCUUCCCAAGAGGCCUUCCCCUGGUCUUCCUCUGCCGGUGUGCCUGCACAAUAACUAAGCAGCCAUGCCGACAGAGAUAAUUCUGACUUACUUUGGUCCCGGCGGGCAGCUGCCCAGUCUCCCUCCGUUUUGGUCCCCAGCGGGUGCGACGUUCUUAGGAACGCUGGCCGCUGCAGUUCGGACUCUUGUAGUAAACUUACCUUCACCCACAUCAAAGAUGGCGCCAACGUGCGUGCGACAUCACGUCAUAGAUACGCACGCACGUUUUGGGGUCAGAGGUCAGAGACAGCCAAAUACAGUCUAAGGAGGGUUAGGCUGGUUAUUUGAGAAUGUGUUCCUGAUUGCAUUUUUCUGGUAUUUGACUUUGGCUUCGUUUUGACUUCCCUGAUUUCUGGUAUCCUUGACUUCUGACUUUCCUCCUUGUUGUGUCUCAUUCUGUGUCCUUGACUUCGGCAAGUAUUUUGACUAUUCUCAUAUAUGUUAAGUCCGGCCAUUAUAAGAUCCGGUUAGACAUUAUCCUUAGUCCUAGGUGUGAUUCUAUUCUGCGUGCUGGAUCAACUAUAGUCCUGACAAAUAGACAGGUUGAUAUAUACAAAUAUGGGAUACAGUUUGAUCUAUAGAACAUAAAAAAUAGACAAAACAUAGUGAUGUAUUGUAAUAUAAAAAGAAUAUGGCAAAUGCUGGUCGCACUCACAAGAUUGUGGAUAAAAUAGCGCCUUGAAGCCAAAAUUGGCUGUCAUGUUCCCCUUUCCUCCCUUUGGAAGCAAUGACUUGUAUGGAGCAGGAACCUCAGCAGACAGAAUCAGAUAAAAAACUAUUUAUUGAG
rnacentral:lncRNA from 1 species